rnacentral:rRNA from 1 species
AUGUCGUCGUCCUCGAUUGGUUCCGCCCGUUCACGCGGCGGACGGAUUCGACGGAGAGGCGCAACAGCUAGGUCGCCGGUGCCGUAUCGUGAGCAGCCGAUGGAGUACGAGCCGGCGGUUUACUGCGGCCAGUGCGGGAGGAAGGCGCCGCGGUGGAUUUCAUGGAGUGCGGCGAACCCUGGGAGGAGAUACUAUGCAUGCGUUGAAGCUCAGGUAGUCUCUCAUGGAUUCGUUGAGUGGCACGACGGCCCAACAUCUCCAUUCCUGCGUGUAUUGUUGGGUGAUCUUCGAGAUAGGGUUUGGCAGCUAGAGGAUGAUGCAGCAGCAAUCUGUAAAGAUGGAGAUGCAACUGUUGGUGCAUUGUGUGUGGAAGUGCAGAAGAGAAAUGAGCAAACUGGUGUUAGGAAAGGGUUGCUGUUGCUAUUUGGCAUUAUGAUAUUUGUGUCAGGUUUAGUUGUAGGGAUGAUCUUAUCCUAG